GCCUUCUCUAUAUUUUCCUGACCAAAGGCCGCAAUAUCCUUCGGAGGCCAACGUCGAAUUCCCGACUUAGCCACCGGCCAACUUACGGCUUUCGUUUCUCACUAUCCUUACGACGAAAAAGGAUUGAGAAAACACCGUUGUGUAGCCUGAUCUACCUCGCACGAGGAAGACUAAGUCGUAGACCUUCGCGGCUAAACACCAUCGCGGAACGACGACCAGAAAACCCCCGACGAACAACUUCCAUUAGUGCUCACUUGGACAAGGGUUCAAAUAAACAAAAGCGUCUGAGUAACCUAUCGCGCUAAGGAAAGAGAAUCAUUGUCUUAAGUAGCAAAACACUGCAAUCAGGUGGGCAUUACUUUUACUAUACGUAUAUAGAGAUCCCCUGCGUGUCGUAGGCCUCUUAUACGAAUGAAUGCAUGAGAUGAUUUAACUGUUAAUUUCAGUUUUAUAUAUCUAUCAAACGAAUUUAAUGUUACAUUUAAACAAGAUAUUUCAUUACAAAAUCAUUGAACUGAAAAUUAUUUCAAUUGUUGUCUUGCCAUAAAUGUUUAAAUUUUAGUAUGAUAUCUAUCUGCUUUGGCUUUGCCAAUGAUGCAAUCGAAUUCGGGUCCUGAGCAGUUGAUAGCUAUCCUGCCAGGACUAGUGUACACCAGUGACCGUGAGUCAUCUAGCGGGUUGGCCGGUCAAGUGACCGUGAGAGGUGGCCACCUCUCCGGCACACAGUUCCAGAUAUGAUAGAUUACAAGAGAACUUAGUCUGCAGACGAACUUUAAGAAUCACAAAUGAACUUAGUAAGCUUGGGCCUUUUUAGCGAAAAACUCCCUUGCUGUACUGUUUAUGAUGGCAUGACAAUUUACAGUUUUGAAGCAUGUAUUUUUAUACCUAGGCAUACGUGCCCACUGAGUGCUUUUGUACUCAGCCCUGCAUAUGUUUUCUAAAUGUGCAGGUUGAGCUGAUGUGAUGAUGGUGCUGCAAUGAGCGGAGUCUCCAGGGUUGUUAAUAAAUAGUUAACCUGUCUAGAAUAUGUCUUCAUACAUAUGUCUAGCUACUUUCCGCUGCAAGAUGUUGUUGAUGUUAUAGUAUGUUAUGUCAUACUUUGAGUCUUAAGAGAAUGGUUUCAUAUGAUGUAUAACUUGAUUAAUGAUAUUAAUUAAGUUUUAUGCUGUCUUUCA